UAGAAGUUUACCAAAAUUUUAUUUUAGAAACUUUCCAAAAAUCCAAGAUUUUCAAAAUUUUCAGCUCAAAUUCGUUGGGGGCAAAUUUCCAUUUUCUAUUGCGGCGUCCUUUGGUAAAAUAACCAUAACUUCUGAUCCAAGACGAGUUACAGGGCAUGCUACUUAUCAAAUCAAAGAAAUCGAUGGGAUCUACAACUUUCAUUCUUUCCAAAUUGACAAAUUUUAGCUGAACCAAGGUUGAAAUUGGGCUCGAAAGUUUGAGGUUCAACAUCCGUUUGGUAAAAAGAUAAUAACUUUUUCAUAUGAACUUCGAUUGGGAAGAUUCAAGAUGUUCCAGAAAGCUAAAGGAAUAACUCUACAAUAAAUCUAAG
rnacentral:lncRNA from 1 species